rnacentral:rRNA from 1 species
AUACGUAGGGGGCGAGCGUUGUCCGGAUUUACUGGGCGUAAAGAGUGCGUAGGUGGUUUUGUAAGCGCGGGGUGAAAGGCUAUGGCUCAACCAUAGUAAGCCUUGCGAACUGUGAGACUUGAGUGCAGGAGAGGAAAGUGGAAUUCCUAGUGUAGCGGUGAAAUGCGUAGAUAUUAGGAGGAACACCAGUGGCGAAGGCGACUUACUGGACUGUAACUGACGCUGAGUCACGAAAGCGUGGGUAGC